UUGUCCCUCACAUACGAUUUGGGUUUUGAGGAGAACCAAAGAUUUGAUUUAGUUUUUUGAUAUUCAACACUCUUUUUCUCACACGCGAUUUGGGUUUUGUACACAGAAGGAAUAGGAGAACCAAGAUUUAAUUUAGGAUUUUAUCUUCUACUAUUGUACUCUCGCACACGAUUCUACGAAGAAAGAAGCAAAGGUUGAUGUCGAAUUGACUAUUGAGGAGAGGAAUUUGCUCUGUUGGGUACAAGAAUGUGAUUGGAGCUCGGAGGACUCCGAGGCGAAUUUUUUCUUCCAUAGAGUAAAAGGAGGAUGCAGGAGGUAACGAAUUGAAGGAGUACAGAUAAAAGGUUGAAUCGGAGUUAUCCAACAUUUGUAGUGAAAUUAUGACUGUUAUAGACGAGCAUUGCUUCUACUGGUGAAUCGACGGUGUUCUUCUACAAGAUGAAGGAGAUUAUUAUUAUUGGUAUUGGCUGAAUUUAAGUCUGUGAGGAGAUGAAAGAGGCAGCUGAUCAUUCACUCAAAGCAUAUAAGGUAAGGACAUACACCCAACACAGGCCUAUUAUACUCAUUGUGGUAGGCUUCACGAUUCAACUUCAAGAUCAUCACAGGAGGUCGCUAAACAAAGUUUUUUUGAGGUCAUUGAUGUUAUAAAUGUUUCAAUUCAAGAUUUGCUUAAAUAGGCCUUGGAUUUGGAUGUUAUAUUGGGUUUUCCUUUUGUACUGGAAAUAGUUGUCUCAUUUCUGAAGGUAUGCCCUGUGAACCUAUAAUUAAUUCUUCCUUUUAAACAACACAAAUUAAGAAAAAAAAAAAAAGGAAUAAAGAGGAAACAGGGGCUAAACAAGGAAGAAAUAGGAAUAUGAGUGGAGGAACCAAAAACAUGGAACACAAGUGUCAAAGGAGUUUGGAAGUUGCCAAUUUGUAGUGACAAAUUCUACAGGGGAUCGGACAAUGGGUGCAUCUAGUGGGAAAAAGUCUGCUGUAGCGGAAGUACACUAUUAAUAGAUUGGAUAACAUCUGGAGGACAACAUUGAUCAUUUAAAACUCUUUUGUUUCUCUCUCCAAAUAUCAUAUACACAACUACCAAGAGCUACUUUUGAAACUAAAACCUAUUGGACUUGGAUUUAGCUUUUCAAUUUGAUGAUGCCCGUAAACAACAUUUUGCUUUACUCCCUAUUUUGAGUAUAAUUCAUCUUUUGAAUAUCGUGAAGUCCGGCAUCAAAGAGUUUCAAAGACCUCAAAUUUACCCCAAACGUGAAGUCCUACAUCAAGGAGUUUCAAAGACUUCAAAUUUACCCCAAAUGUGAAAUUUCAUAGUUGCUUGACACUGAGUUAUUUUCACUAUUCAAUUGUGAAAUUGAUCCCAUAUUAGGUUUUUUUUGGUAUACUUGAUUUUAAACUCAACCGUAAACAUUGGGAGCUCAUAAUUUCCCUGUUGGGCAUUAAAUGAGAAACUAUAUGCGUGUGUAUAUCUAUAUUAUUAUUAAAAAUACAAGGGGUGUCAAGAAUUUUAAAUCAUCAUUAAAAAUAAAUAAAUAAUAAAAUAAAUUACCAUUUAAAAUUUAUCAAUUAAAAUAAAUCCUAUUAUACUCUUAUGUUACGUUUGGUAUGCAUGAAUGUAAUGGAAUGCCUGUUCCAACCACUCCUUUGUUUAAUAUGCAAUUUAAAGUGGGAAUGAUCAUUCUAUUUGAAUGAAAAUCUAUUUCACAACUAAACCUAUGGAAUGACCAUUUCAUUCUCAAGUAAUUUUUUGAGUUAAUUACAACGACACCCCCUGAGAUUUGUCAUAUUGACAGUCAUAUAGAACUUAACCCUUUUUUGGACAAAGACACCCUCUAAAGUUGUAAACUUGAAUAAUGACACCCCAAACAUGAUGAAAGUACAUGUUUACCCUUUGAUCACAUAAAAUGACCAAAUUACUCUCAUCCAAAAAAUCUUUUCUUCUUCCAAAUUUUCAAUCUCCCAUUCAUUCCGGCCAAUACACAACCACUACUCACCACCACCGUAACCUCCAUAACCACCAUCUUCUUCCCCGUUUCACCACCAUCACACAAACCCAACACCUCAAAAUUACACAUAUAUAUUUAUGGCCGAGCCAUCCAAACCCAUAUAAAUCACACAAACCCAACACACAUAGAUCACACCAUCCAAAAAAAAAAAAAAACACAGAUCGCCUCAAAAGGGGAUCUCGCGGCGAGCAAGAAGAAGCCCUCACCAGCCACCGCAAGUCCUCCACGACUGAGCCAUCCACAGUCAAUCCAAUUCCUAACUCGCCUCACCCACUUCCGCCUCUCAGCCACUACUCUCUGCAACGACAACAGCACCGGCGUCUGCCACCUCACCCUCGACCGAUACCCAACACACCAACCCUGCUCACAGAUCCAAGAUCUUCCUCAACCUUUUCUGAUCUUUGCCGUCCAUCGCUGCCGCCGCCGAUCUCACUCCUUACCGCCGUUGAUAUCCUCAACCUUCUCCGAUCUCUGUCGUCCAUCGCUGCUGCCGCCGAUCUCACUCCUUGCCGUCGUUGAUAUCCUCAACCUUCUCCGAUCUCUGCCGUCCACCGUUGCCGCCGCCGUUGAUAUAAUGCCAAACAAUAAAUCUCUUUCUCCCUUAAUCUUUUAUU